rnacentral:sRNA from 1 species
CUGGACUCGAGUCUUUUGACGCAAGUUGCGCCCAAAGCCAUUAGGCUUAAGGCACGUCUGCCUGAGCGUCACGUAUCGUGUCACCCCCCACCCCCACCUGCAUCGCCGGGUGGUUGGGGGCGGACACUGGCCUUCCAUGCCCCUCGACGUGUGGCCGGCCCAAAUGAGAUCCCCGGGCGACUGGCGUCGCGACAAGUGGUGGUUGAACAUCUCAAUCUCUCUUGUGGUCGUGCCGCCGUGUCCUCCCAUAAAGGAAUCAAAAAUGACCCAACAGUGCUCGGCGUGAAUAGCAUCUCACCUUCAACCGCGACCCCAGGUCAGGCAGGAUUACCCACUGAGUUCAAGCAUAUCAAUAAGCGGAGGAAAA